rnacentral:rRNA from 1 species
UACGUAGGGUGCGAGCGUUACUCGGAAUUACUGGGCGUAAAGCGUGCGCAGGCGGCGCGUUAAGACAGGUGUGAAAUCCCCGGGCUCAACCUGGGAACUGCAUUUGUGACUGCAUCGCUGGAGUGCGGCAGAGGGGGAUGGAAUUCCGCGUGUAGCAGUGAAAUGCGUAGAUAUGCGGAGGAACACCGAUGGCGAAGGCAAUCCCCUGGGCCUGCACUGACGCUCAUGCACGAAAGCGUGGGGAGCAAACAGG